UACGUAGGGGCGCAAGCGUUUGUCCGGAAUUAUUGGGCGUAAAGAGCUCGUAGGCGGCUUGUCACGUCGGGGUGUGAAAGCCCCGGGGGCUUAACCCCGGGUCUGCAUUCGAUACGGGCUAGCUAGAGUGUGGUAGGGGAGAUCGAAUUCCUGGUGUAGCGGUGAAAUGCGCAGAUAUCAGGAGGAACACCGGUGGCGAAGGCGGAUCUCUGGGCCAUUACUGACGCUGAGGAGCGAAAGCGUGGGGGAGCGAACAGG
rnacentral:rRNA from 1 species